CGAACCCUACGGGGGGCAGCAGUAGGGAAUCUUCCACAGUGGACGAAAGUCUGAUGGAGCAACGCCGCGUGAGUGAAGAAGGGUUUCGGCUCGUAAAGCUCUGUUGGUAGUGAAGAAAGAUAGAGGUAGUAACUGGCCUUUAUUUGACGGUAAUUACUUAGAAAGUCACGGCUAACUACGUGCCAGCAGCCGCGGUAAUACGGUGGUGGCAAGCGUUGUCCGGAUUUAUUGGGCGUAAAGCGAGUGCAGGCGGUUCAAUAAGACUGAUGGG
rnacentral:rRNA from 1 species